rnacentral:rRNA from 1 species
AUGGCUCCCUGCUCCGCGGCGGCCAAGGCGGCACGGGAGCUGCGGGACGCGGUGGCGGCCCUUGCUGUGCGCCGCGCCGACGACGAGGAUGCGCUGCGGCGCCGCACCGUCGCGCUGGACACCGACGCGCCGGCCAAGAAGGGCGGCCACGGCGGCGCGGCCGCCGCUGACCCGCGCCUCCAGGGCAUUUCCGACGCCAUCCGCGUCGUCCCGCACUUCCCCAAGCAAGGGAUCGUGUUCAACGACAUCACGGUGCUGCUGCUGCAGCCGGGCGUGUUCAAGGACGCCGUGGACAUGUUCGUGGAGCGCUACCGCGGCAUGGGCAUCGCGGCCGUUGCAGGCAGAGCAUGGCCAAGCUGGCAUGCUUUGUUGGUCGGUCUUCAAUUCUUCAUGCCGCUGCUGCUACUGCUACAUGAGGACGCUCUUCAAUUCUGCAUCCGUUGCGGCCGCCGCAGUUUCCACCUCCAGAAGAGCACCUGCUCCUUGUGCGGUUACCCGGCCGCCCGCAUCCGCAAGUGGGACUUGGAGGAUCCCCCGCUAGCUGUCCCACCUCCCAUCUUCGUUGGCGUCGUAGCCGCCUUCGUCGAGGGAGUGGCCAUGGAUUUCCCCACCGCCGCCGCCUCCUUCCUGUCUGUAGAUCCUGCCAUAGCUCCGCUCUGCGACAGAGAUCACAAACGCGCAGGCCUGAGUACAGGAGAGCGCCAUCGCAAGUCCUGA